AGUCAGUGCAUCCUCCUGUUGUACAACUGGACUUAUUUGUCCAACUACUCUUCACUAUUUCCUACCUCACUUUUGUCAGAUCUGUCCUGUUCUUUGAAGAUGUAGAAUGCAUUUAUUAUUUUACCCACACGGUACGAACUAAGAUUGAAAAAGGAACAUUCUAACACCUCGUAGUAAUAUCACAGUAAGAAAAACAAGUUCAUAGUGUUUGCCCUCAGGCUUGAGCAAUGUGAUUUUUACUUUUUAUACUGGGGAGAAACACUUCCCAUAGGUCAGCGGGCAUACCUACAAAAGCACUAAACUACGAGGAAUUCCAAACUGCUGCCAAGUUACACCUCAAUAAACACUUACUGAAUUAAGACUCUGAUGUUUCUGAUGCAGAUUGACUAAUAAAUAUUUUUUAUUUCCUGCACUGCAAACCACUUUGGCAGCUCCUGAGGUUAAAAAAAAAAAAAAAAGUGCUUUGAACAGUACUUCACUAACAAGGAAAGCUGUGUUAAUGUACAAGGAAAACAAAACACAAUUCAACAAAAAUAUUUCACUUUAAUAAAAAGUAAGCCCUGGGAGCAUUGAUCAAAAUCAGUAAAUAAAUAUGAAACAGAAAUAACCUUCUGCUUUUACAUAAUUGUAUUAAAAAAAAAAAUCCAAGUGCCUUUUAUAUCAGUUUGUUUUAAACAUAUUUUAAACAAAUACAGACAGGCCAGCUGAGAUUAAAUAAGAGCUUGGCCCUGAAAAAUAAUGAGUAUUCCCAGUAACCUUUGAAGUCAAGGGCAUUCAGCCCACCAGGAAUAAGAAUUUACAUCUUGGUAUCUCAAAUAACUGAUGCCAAAUAAUCUGAAGUCAUGUAAAAGAUUCAAAACAUUAACAUUUCAUAAAUUAUCAAGUCAAUUCUAUAGAUAGACAUCCCCUUCUGAUCCAGCUGGAUAACAAGUAACAUAAUUUACUCCCUACUUGUUACCACCUGCAUCAGAAGAUUGUCACCUGCCAAGUUUUACUGGGAGGGAUCCCAGUUUUAGGACUCCAUGCAGGACACUGCAGCAGUUCUCAGCUCUGCUACACCACUCUCCUGCCCCCUCGCUCAUAGACACAAAGGUGCAUUUCUCCCACAUGCGAAUAUAGCACCAAGUUCCCUCAGGAUUUUCCUACUGCUCUUGCCCUUAUAUGCUUCAGGACAGGACACUGGCAGGUAUACCUUUCCCUGAGGAAAAGACAAAACA
rnacentral:lncRNA from 1 species